GACGAAGGAUUCAAGCGUUGUCCGGAUUUACUGGGUUUAAAGGGUGCGUAGGCGGAACUUUAAGUCAGUGGUGAAAGCUCUCGGCUCAACCGAGAAAUUGCCAUUGAAACUGAUUUUCUUGAAUACAGUGGAGGUAGAUGGAAUAUAACAUGUAGCGGUGAAAUGCUUAGAUAUGUUAUAGAACACCGAUUGCGAAGGCAGUCUGCUACACUGUCAUUGACGCUGAGGCACGAAAGCGUGGGGAGCGAACAGG
rnacentral:rRNA from 1 species